rnacentral:rRNA from 1 species
GGGGGAAAAAUUAAUAAAUUAUAAAUAAUAAAAAAAUUUUUAAUAUUAAUAUAAUUUAAUGGGGGUUAAAGUAUAUUUAAUAGAAAAAAUAAUAAAAUUUAUAGGGAAUUAGUAUUGUAAAAGAAAUUUGAAAUAUAUUGAAAAUAAAUUUAUAUAAAAGUAGAUUUAAUUUAUUGUAUCUUGUGUAUCAGAGUUUAUUAAUAAUAUUUUUUAUUUAAAAAUUUUCUCGAAUUUAAAAGAGAUAAUUAAUUAUUAAAAUUAAUGUUGAAUAAUUAUUUUAAAUAAUUAAUUUGAAAUGAAAUGUUAAUCGUUUUUAAAUAUAUCUAGUUUUUUUAGAAAAAAAUUUAAUUUUAAAUUUUAAAAUAAUAUAGUUUUAAUUAAUUAAAAUUGUAUUUUUAAAAUUAAAUAUUUUAAGGGAUAAGCUUUAAAAUAAAUUUUUAUAAUAAAUUUUAUUAAAAAAUUAAGAUUUUUAAAAUUUAUAUUGUUUAUAAAUUAUAAUUUUUUAUAAAUAAUUUUAAUUUAAUUAAAAUUUAAAAUUUAUUUAAUUUUUUAUAAAAAAAUAUUUUUUAAUAAUUUAAAUUUAGAUAUAAUGAUAAAAUUAGUAUAUAAUUAGAUAAAAAUAAUUUUUUAUUUGAUAAUUUAAAAAAAAGGAAUUCGGCAAAAAUUUAUAUUCACUUGUUUAUCAAAAACAUGUCUUUUUGAUUAAUAAUUUAAAGUCUAAUCUGCCCACUGAUAAUUUAUUAAAGGGCUGCAGUAUUUUGACUGUACAAAGGUAGCAUAAUCAUUAGUCUCUUAAUUGGUGACUUGUAUGAAAGAUUUGAUGAGAUAUAUACUGUCUCUUUUUAAUUUAUAAAAUUUAAUUUUUUAGUUAAAAAGCUAAAAUAAAUUUAAAAGACGAGAAGACCCUAUAGAGUUUUAUAUUUAAUUAAAUUAAAAUUUUUUAUAAGUUUUAAAAUUUUAAUUUAAAUAAAUAUUUUGUUGGGGUGACAGAAAAAUUAAAAUAACUUUUUUUAAAAAUAUACAUUUAUAAAUGGAUAAAUGAUCCGUAAUUUACGAUUAUAAGAAAAAAUUACCUUAGGGAUAACAGCGUAAUUUUUUUUUUUAGUUCAAAUAAGAAAAAAAGUUUGCGACCUCGAUGUUGGAUUAAGAUAAAAUUUAAAUGCAAAAGUUUAAAAUUUUUGAUCUGUUCGAUCAUUAAAAUCUUACAUGAUCUGAGUUCAAACCGGUGUAAGCCAGGUUGGUUUCUAUCUUUAAAUAAAUAAAAUAUUUUAGUACGAAAGGAUCAAAUAUUUAAAAUAAUUUUAUAAAAAAGAAUAUUAAUAAUAAUAAUGUAAAAUUA